CGAAGCCUUCGGGUUUAGUGGCGCACGGGUGCGUAACGCGUGGGAAUCUGCCCCUUGGUUCGGAAUAACAGUUGGAAACGACUGCUAAUACCGGAUGAUGACGUAAGUCCAAAGAUUUAUCGCCGAGGGAUGAGCCCGCGUAGGAUUAGGUAGUUGGUGUGGUAAAGGCGCACCAAGCCGACGAUCCUUAGCUGGUCUGAGAGGAUGAUCAGCCACACUGGGACUGAGACACGGCCCAGACUCCUACGGGAGGCAGCAGUGGGGAAUAUUGGACAAUGGGCGAAAGCCUGAUCCAGCAAUGCCGCGUGAGUGAUGAAGGCCUUAGGGUUGUAAAGCUCUUUUACCCGGGAUGAUAAUGACAGUACCGGGAGAAUAAGCUCCGGCUAACUCCGUGCCAGCAGCCGCGGUAAUACGGAGGGAGCUAGCGUUAUUCGGAAUUACUGGGCGUAAAGCGCACGUAGGCGGCUUUGUAAGUAAGAGGUGAAAGCCCAGAGCUCAACUCUGGAAUUGCCUUUUAGACUGCAUCGCUUGAAUCAUGGAGAGGUCAGUGGAAUUCCGAGUGUAGAGG
rnacentral:rRNA from 1 species